rnacentral:lncRNA from 1 species
AAAAUUUACAAACAUGAUAACACAAGACUGAAUACAAUUAAAAUUUAGUCUUUCAUUGUACCAUAAAGUCAACUAUGCUGCACAUAAGUGUAUUUGUUUAAAACUAAAUAAAAUGAUUUUCAUAAUUUAUAAACAGGCUACUGUACUCUCAAUUUUACAAAAGCAAAUUCAGAUUGGCUUAUAGUUUAUAAAUCUGCCUUAUAAAAGGUAAACUGAUUGAGUUGAAUCAGGACUGAAAAAAAAGUUUCUCUUUUGAUGCACAUGUAUAACAUGAUGAAAUACUCAUAUGUUAUUAAAAUAUUAGUAUUAUAGGAAAUUAUAUAUCAUCAUGUUGUUCUUUUGUUUUCAUGUAAAGCUGUCCCUCCAAAUUUUAAGAAAAAUUUAACACCGUUUGAAUUUUAUUUUUUUAAAUUAUGUUUGGUUUUACAAAAAAAAGAGAGAAAUCUUGAUAUUAAAUUAUGAAUUGAAUUCUUGUGAAACAUUUAUUGCAGAUUGGAAAUAACUCAGUUUAGAUAUAUUUCUUUAGUUUUUCUACCUUUGUUAGACAAUUUAGAAUGAUUCAGAAAAAGACAUAUUUCAAUGGAUGUAAAUUGACAAAAAAAUACAUAUUUGUAUUUGUCAGAUUUUAAAAGUAUGUUGUCACAUUUCCUUGGCCAAAAAACCUUUUGAAUGGGAAUAGGAACACAUAACUUUAUUUUUGUGAAUAAUUAUACAUACACACAAGUACAGGUGUGUGAUGAGUUGAUGUGGCAGACUUGAAACUAGGAGUUAUCUGGAAAGAUAACAUUUCAGCAUUAUCACCAAGGCUGGAUUACAGAUUGGAAUUUGCUCAAAACAAUUUGUUGUUAUAUAUAGUGAUUAUUAUUCUUAAAAUAUGAACAUGCAUAACAACCAUCUUGCAAGAAAUAUUGAAUUUAUGAUUUUGACAACCAUGCUGGUUUUUGAACAGGGCAUUAAAUCUGCAAAAAUUAACAUCUAAGAUGAUUAUUUAGCCUGAAUGUCAAGAAUGACUAUUAACUGUUUAUUCUGUUUGAAAUCUGAAAUAAUUCAAUAAGUGUAAAUGCAAAUAUGAUUGCUUGGAGAAUCCUGAAAGAAGGAUAUUGAUGUGCAUGAUACUGUGUAUUUGAGAUACAUUGUUUAUUGUUUGACAAACUUAUUAUAAUGAAUGCCUGAGCUUUAUAGAUGAAGUAAUGAAAGUAAAAAUAAUAUAUGAUAUUGUUUAAAAGUUCAGUUGUAAACUUUAUACCCAUCACAUCUUUGUGUUCAAAGAUUGAUAAAGAUAAUAUGUAUUAGAUUGUCUGGUGGUGAAAAGUAGUUCUUUUAUAUGAUCUCAGUCUGAUUUCUGAACAAUACAAGUUUUGUAAUUGAUGUAACAAAAAAAUGGCAACUGUGUGUUGGUUUAUGGUUCUCUGGAGUAGACAUUUGGAUUUAUGGAGGGAGUUAUCAGUUAUAUACAUUUUAUUAACUUCAUGUCAAAUGCAUUUUUUUUUUUCAUUGGAACUCUACAUCAUAUUUUAUUAACAAUAAAUAAUUUUCAUUUUAGCCGUGCAAGCUAGGAGUAAACUGCAAUAAAUAUUUUUUUUUUUUAAUAUUAUUCCUUUAGGUGCCUGCAUUUGCAAAUUAUAUACUACAACAUGUUCGAUAUAAAAAAACGAAGAAGAUAUUUAGCAUGUAGAUAUGUUUUCUUCUGUUAGUUAGGAAUUUACUAAUUACUUUCUCAAUAUAAUCACAAAUCAUCUUCUCGUUAUUAUAUCUUGUUCAUUGAUAGUUUUAAUUUGAUAUACUCUUGUAUGUCUCAAGCUAUUUUAGUGCCUAAUAACCAGUUAUACAUGUUAUAACAAAUAUUUUACCAUUAAUUAGUGACAGAUAUAUUUGAAUGAAACAGAACUAUUGGCUAUAUUCAUACCUCUAUUACUGUAUUAGCUAUCUAACUCUGUUUUAUGGAUAUACAAUUAAUGUAUUUUCCUUUUGUUGUGCUGCAUAAAAGGAGGGACCGUUUUGGCAAAGUGAUAUAAGUACAGUUUAAGUACUUCAACUUCAGUGAUCUUCAGUAGUCUUUAGCAUAUAAACACUGAGGUUGUUAGAUGAAACCUUGCUCAGGGCAAGGUGCUUUAGACUCUUUAUUCACUAUGAUUGCCAAUUCCCUUCCCAAACUUGAAAAUAAAACUAUAUUUUAAGGUUUUUAAAGUAAAUAAUGUUGCUGGUGGAAGUUUAUCCCAUCUAGGACAUCACCAGCCAAAAAAAGUACCUAUUACUUUUCUUAAUAAUUUUUUGAUAGUAAAAAAAACAUUAUAGUUUGACAAAAAAACUUGUUAAUAUACAUUUACAAAUUCUGCAGAGAAGCAAGUCAAAUUUAUACAUAAUUGCAAAUAAAAUUCAUCAAAUAACAAGAAAUAAAUGGAAAUAAACUGCUCAGGACAGUAACUGGUUUAUAUGACUGGUUCCAUUAUAUAAUAACACAUGCUCAGUAAUUCUGCAUGUUUUAAUAAGAUUUUUUGUAAAUAUUGCAAAUAACAUCUCUAGCAUAUUAAAUCAUUAGUAUUUAUCUUGUAUUUCAAUUUCAUCAGAGUCAAGAUUCAUUACGCUUUAGAAAAAGGCAUUAACCAAAUCAAAUUGGAUAGGAGUGAUACAGCUGAUUGCAUAGAGUGUGAAUACAAAGGUAAUUAUUUGGUUAGCUUGGUUGCUAGCUGAGCCUUGAAGUCAGAAUUAGGUUGGGUAAACUAGUACCCUCAUUUAAGAGUAGACUAAAGUCCUACAGAUAACCUAUCUAUCUGUCUGUAUGAAAAGACUUCUUUGAAAGGAGGGUUGUAUACCUUACCUAAUAAUGAUUCCACGAUUCAACUAGCAAGUAAGCUAACCUAAGAUAUUACCAUUCGCUACACACUCAAUGCAAUCUGGCUGUAAGACUGUUGUUUUCAUUUAUCAUAUAAACAAUAGAUAAAAGCCAGCUCAAGAUUUUGUUCAUAUAUCUUUCAUAUUUUCACAUUAGAUCACAUAAAUCUCUUUUUAUUGGGAGACUAGGUAGUUUUCCAUUCUAUUAUUACGUUCAUGAUUUUGAGAUUUGUUUUAGAUCUAAAUGAGUCAGAGAAAAAUAGGGUUCAAUUUUGGGAAUUUGGGUUAUUUCCAUAAAAUUGUAUGCCAAUAUUCAUAUUUAAAAAUUGUAUGUCAAAAUAAGACCUUUAUUGAAUAUUUAUGUAAGGUAUUGUCAUCUAUUUAUAGGUAUUGGCUUUCAUUGUAUAUUUUGAGAUAAAAAUGCAAAAUGUACCAUGCUCAUGUAGAAAAAUCUCUUAAAAGUGGUCCUGACAAAAUGUGUUUUUUAAAUCACCAAUUAUCAACCCAAUAUGUGGUAAAAUAACUUUUUAUGGGAAAGAAAAGUGCCACAACAUUGCUGUCUAAAAAAUACAUACGGUAAUAAUAUUUAUUUAUCUGUUUGUGAAUUACUUUAUUUCACCAUUUGAUAUGAAUAGAAUUUUUUCGUUAUACUUUUCCAUCCCAGAUUUUCUUUUUACAUAUAUUUGAAAAAAAGAUAGAUGUACUUUCAGAAUUUUAUGGAGUUUUUUAAAUUAAAAAAUGUACCUGGAUUAAUAAUGCAACACUUAAAUGUAGCAAACAACUUGCAGAGAUCACUUUUGCUUAUUUUUGAUCAUGUUAAAUUUGUGAAAAAUAUACUUCAAAAGUUUGUACAAAUUACCAAUUUUGAUGUGAAAGGCACACUUAUGUUUAUUGUUCAAUGCACAUACAAAACACUCACACAAGAUUUAAAAAAAAAAUCAUUAUAAAUGAAAAACACAAAAUAUCCACAUUUACUUGUACAAUAAUAGGGAAAAGGGCAAUACACGAAGGUAUGUGUAAUACCAUCCAAUUUUGAAUUAACAGUAGGUAGACGUAACAGUAGGUAGAGGUAACAGUAGGUAGAGAUAACUGUAGGUAUUUGCACCUACUUAAGUAAUUUCCCUGAACUAUUUAUACAAUAAUUCAAUAAUUAAUUUUUAACUAUAAAUAUUGAACAAUAAACAAACCUAAUUUAUGAUAUUAUAUAAUUGUCAUGUGCACAAAAGUAAUACUUGAUUAUAUAAAAUGAAAAUUAUAUUUUUUUUAUUAUUAACCUUUUUCAAUGUAAAUAAUUUUUUUUAAUUUUAAAGUCAUAAGGUUUUGUAAGACUUAACACUUAAUAUUUGCAAGAAAAGUUUAUAGUUAAAAAUACAAUAAAUAUGCACCAAAGUAAAGGUAGCAAAAAGCUGUAACCAGAUGGUUACAGAAAAAAAAGUCAAUGAAAAAAAAGCAUCAAACACAUUUGUAUGGCAAGCCGUUUUACUAUUUAUUCGAAUUUCAAGAUAUCUCCUAUAAUAUAUAAGAUAUCUUAUAUAAUAUAUAAGAUAUCUCCUUUAAUAUAUAAGAUAUCUUAUAUAAUUUCAUUUUUAUAAGAUAUCUCAUAAAGUUUAGAAGAUAUCUCAUAAAGUUUAGAAGAUAUACUCAUAAAGUUUAUAAGAUAUCUCCUAAAGUUUAUAAGAUAUCUUAUAUAGUUUAUAAGAUAUCACAUAUAGUUUAUAAGAUAUCUUAUAAAGUAUACGAGAUAUCUUAUAAAUAAUUUUAUAUAAGUUAUUUUAUAUAGUUUAUAAGUAUCUCAUAUAGUUUAUAAGAUAUCUUAUAUAGUUUAUGAGAUAUCUUAUAAAGACAAUUAUAUUAGAUACCUGAUAAACUAUAUAAGAUAUCUUAUAAACUAUACAAGAUAUCUUAUAAACUAUAUAAGAUAUCUUAUAAACAAUAUAAGAUAUCUUAUAAAGUUUAUGAGAUAUCUUGCAGUAAGAAUAAAUAGCAAAACGGCUUGCCAUACAUUUGAAAUAAAAAAUCUGUGAUAUUCACUGUGAUUUUUUCCUUACUUUUCAUUUGGACUUUGUUGAGGUUUGUGUCUGAUUGUAAACUAUUUAGAAAUAAUCAUAUUGGAAUGCUGAGGAAUUUUUUUUGAUAAAAAGCUUGAGCUCGUUCCUAUCAUUUUGUAUUGAUGUUUAUUAUAAGCAUUAUUAUUGCAGUGUAUUGUACAGUUAUAUAAAUAAUUAUUGUUAGAAUAAGUAUUGUUUUCUUUUGUAUCAGUAUUUUAGAAAGCAAACAUAACUUUGAACAGGGUGUUUGUGUAAAGGAGACAAAAAAGUAUAUCAAUAAUUGAAAUAAAAAAAGAAAGACCAUUUAGAAGAAUACUCAUAUCUUAGACAUUUCUAUAAUAUCCUGAAUUAUGAAAUACACAUACUCAUUCUCAAAGAUUCUAAUGGCUUUUUACUUCUACCAAACUUUUUGGUAAUAGUUGUAAUUCAAAGUGCCUAGAUGAAUAAUCGAUUAUAUAGCAACAUCGUGG